rnacentral:tRNA from 1 species
GAGGGUAUAGCUCAGUGGUAGAGCACAUGCUUAGCAUGCACAAGGUCCUGGGUUCAAUCCCCAGUACAUCCA